CAGUUACGGUUCAAAAAGGGCCUUGAUGAAUGAUAGAAAGGAGGGGAGGGAUGGGCUGCCAACCGAGCUCAGAAAGCGAAGCCAUCGCAUCCAGUUAUUCCAGUGGUUAGGAAUCUGAACCGGCUCGGCUCCCUUCCUUAUGGUCGAGCGGAUUCAAUCUUCUUCCCGAAGUAGCACAUCUGAAAGCCUCGUAUUUACAGGUUGCGGGAGCUAGGCAUGAGGGUAGGGACCUCUUUCAUUCGUAGCACGACAUGACAUAAGCUACUUCUGGACAGGC